rnacentral:lncRNA from 1 species
CCUAUCAUUCUGGGCUAUGACUUAGUUUGUCUACUGGUAGGAUAAGGUAAACAUCAUCAUGACUUGAAUAAUUGAAUCGUGACAACUUGAUAUCUCCCCCAAAUGAGUCCUAUACUAUAGGAAUCUAAGUUAAUCCGACUCUAAUACCAAUACUAAACACCAAAACUUAGAUAUUCAUGGUUGAACAAUAUCCUUCCCACA